rnacentral:tRNA from 1 species
GGAGAAUUAGCUCAGCUGGGAGAGCAUCUGCCUUACAAGCAGAGGGUCGGCGGUUCGAACCCGACAUUCUCCACCA